rnacentral:lncRNA from 1 species
UAUAUAUAUAUAUAUAUAUAUAUAUAUAGGUUUUUUUUCUUUUGCUGUGAUGUUUAUAUAUGAAUUAUUGUUUCUCUUAGAAUGUUUAUAAAUUAGUGAAAAAUGGAAUCGAGAUGUUGAGACUUGGGAAAAGACACAUGUGUUGUGUUGAUCUAUAUGAGGUAAGUUACUAGUACUACUAAUAUAUUUCGAAUGUGCAUUUUCCACUACACUUGCUGGAAAACUUUAUUAUUGUGCAUGAAUCACAAGGUGGAUUGACGAAGAGGUUUCAUACUCAAAGCAACAGGGCAGGCAAGUUUAUGUUAUGCUAAUGUUAUAAUGGAUAUAAAAGGUGAGUACCUGUAAUUUCUUAAAAGUUUUGGAAACUCUUCAUCGAGUCGCAUAUGCUCUUAAGUUUUAGCAUAAUAGUAAUUGAGUCACAUGUGCUAUGUUUUGUUAAGUACAUAAGAGGAUUGCUUAUUGAAAAUAUAUGGUUUUGACUGAUGAUAAUAUCAGUCAAAUUAUUUCAUUUUUUUACUUUAAACAACACUAAUCCACAAAUAUGAA